GAUGUGGAGAUUCUAAUGGAAGACCAAGAGAAAAUGUGUUAACAACAUGUUCGACAGGUAUUUAUAUUUAGACAAGUGCAGUUUUAAUUUAGGAAGGUAUCUAGCACCAUUUUACGUGAAGCAUUGAGGUUUUUUUUGUUCCUUAUGCAGUCCUUUCCACUAUACUUGAAUAUCUGGACUCUGGUUCACCCAUAUUUGUUUCUAUUUUGUGUACCAAGUUUUUCCAGAUGCAGCCAACAAUUGGAUUAUUUUAGAAAAGCUGUAAAGAAAAAUGCUUAUCUAAAGUGUGUCCACUUUUUCAAACUUAUGUCUCCAAAAAAAGCAUUAGCCCUCUCUGCUGUUUAAAACUGAAAUGACAGCUCUGAGGCAGUCUUUAACCCCAUCAGCAGGUCCCAACAACCGGUUAAAAGCAGUUGAAAUACUAAUAUAGCCUAUUGAUAAAUGAAAAACUAUACACUUUGAACUUAAUUUAGUUUAUUUUUAAUCCAAUUACCACAUACUGACACACAUCCCACGUAGUGUUCUGUACAUUUUUAUUAAAAAUCCUGGACAUCGAAAAUAAUGAUUGUCUUUUUUUGCAUCCUGGGUUGCAGAGCAAUACCACAGUGUAACCAGUGUUCAGAUCAUUAAUCAAGCACAUAAUUAAUUAUAAAUGUUUUACCAAUGUGAUUUGAAUAGUGUUGGAAGGCUCAUUUUCUGACCAGCACACAUUUUUGUUCUGUUCCCAUGAGUUGUGCUUUACAGAGGGGGCAUUCCCCGCUGCCUUCAAGCCCCCUCCAGCAGUCCAGCGGGGCUAGACAAACAAGACCUGGGGUCCAGUCAAUUUGUCUGGACAAAUUUGGGGAUUUGGGGCCUCGGCAAGCUAUGCAGGGACGAGUGCUAAUUGUUUGUGUGCCAAGCAACUGCUCUCAAUCCCCUGGUCUCUCAAGUCACUCUAUUCACCCUGGUCUUUGUUUGCUAGGAGGAUGGAUGUGCAACAAAUGCUUUGGGGGAAGAUGUGGUCCUCUUAUACCUCCACCCCCUGGUCAACAAUGAGACAAUCUGAGAAAGUGCUGGAGCGAGGCGUCACCCCAGGCACCAGUCCCUCACUAAUUCAGUGUCGCCCCUCGGCGCUCUCCUGGCAUGCUGAUCAGAGGAUUAGGCCCCGGAGACGGCAUCGAGUCAAGAGCAGGCUGGAGAAAGGGAAAGGCAUGCAGGCGAGAUGAGGUGAAUGCCAUGCUGGCAAGGGUGCCAAGGAAGCAGAUGGCUUCAGAAAGCAGAAGUAGAAGGAAACAAAUGUGGAGGAGGGACCCUGUGGAGAAUACUAAGCACUGUGGGAGAUGCAGCAACAAAGGGUGCUCCAAACUUUGAGGACAGCCCCUCCAGAAAACACAGGCCUGGCCCUCCAAACUCAAAGGACGAGCUCCAUUCACCGCCUGGCAACGGCGCUGAGAAAUGGAGAAGAGAUGGGCACAACGGAAUGGGUGGGCAGUAAAUUAUCAACUUUGAGAGGAGAAGACACGAUAUUUAUUUAUAGCAUUCAGCCAGGGCACUCAGGGAAGGUUGAAAUGGAAAGGGGGUGCGCGUCUUUUGCAAGGGGCAUCCUAGGUGGUCAGCAUUGACCUGUACUAACCCCUUGUAUCCUGUCUCAUUCUCCCACCCUUCACACUUGUCUUGUACCCAGAGCUCCCGAGACCUCCCUGGUAAUUAGGGAACGAGUCACACCCACUCCCUGCCCCCAAAUGUAGUAAAUGUUCCUCCUUCUCCUGGCCUUGUGACACACACACUCACACAGCCACAGAAUUGUGGCUUCAAGACACCAUUCAGCCCUGGUCCCUACUUGCUCUAUCCCCCACUCUACAUUUUAUCACCACCCCUUGUUUUGUUUUGCUGUCUCAAUCCAUCAAUCUUCCCAUUAGCCUCCAUAUUACGGACACCACGGGAAACGCCCCCUUUACACCAGCCCUUCAAAUCUGUCUUCCUCUCUGCAACUC